UGCGGGGUGGCCGAGUAAUAGGCGAAAGAUUGUAGAUCUUUUAACGGAAGUGUUUUCCCCCCGUAA
rnacentral:tRNA from 1 species